CCUUCGGGGUACACGAGCGGCGAACGGGUGAGUAACACGUGGGUAACCUGCCCUGUACUCUGGGAUAAGCCUUGGAAACGAGGUCUAAUACCGGAUACGACCACUGAAUGCAUGUUCGGUGGUGGAAAGUUCCGGCGGUAUGGGAUGGACCCGCGGCCUAUCAGCUUGUUGGUGGGGUAAUGGCCUACCAAGGCGACGACGGGUAGCCGGCCUGAGAGGGUGACCGGCCACACUGGGACUGAGACACGGCCCAGACUCCUACGGGAGGCAGCAGUGGGGAAUAUUGCACAAUGGGCGAAAGCCUGAUGCAGCGACGCCGCGUGAGGGAUGACGGCCUUCGGGUUGUAAACCUCUUUCAGCAGGGACGAAGCGCAAGUGACGGUACCUGCAGAAGAAGCACCGGCUAACUACGUGCCAGCAGCCGCGGUAAUACGUAGGGUGCGAGCGUUGUCCGGAAAUUAUUGGGCGUAAAGAGCUCGUAGGCGGUUUGUCGCGUCGGCCGUGAAAACUUGGGGCUUAACUCCAAGCUUGCGGUCGAUACGGGCAGACUUGAGUUCGGCAGGGGAGACUGGAAUUCCUGGUGUAGCGGUGAAAUGCGCAGAUAUCAGGAGGAACACCGGUGGCGAAGGCGGGUCUCUGGGCCGAUACUGACGCUGAGGAGCGAAAGCGUGGGGAGCGAACAGGAUUAGAUACCCUGGUAGUCCACGCCGUAAACGGUGGGUGCUAGGUGUGGGGGGCUUCCACGCCCUCUGUGCCGCAGCUAACGCAUUAAGCACCCCGCCUGGGGAGUACGGCCGCAAGGCUAAAACUCAAAGGAAUUGACGGGGGGCCCGCACAAGCGGCGGAGCAUGUGGAUUAAUUCGAUGCAACGCGAAGAACCUUACCUGGGCUUGACAUGCACUGGAAAACCAGUAGAGAUAUUGGCCCCCUUGUGGCCGGUGUACAGGUGGUGCAUGGCCUGUCGUCAGCUCGUGUCGUGAGAUGUUGGGUUAAGUCCCGCAACGAGCGCAACCCUCGUUCCAUGUUGCCAGCACGUAAUGGUGGGGACUCAUGGGAGACUGCCGGGGUCAACUCGGAGGAAGGUGGGGAUGACGUCAAGUCAUCAUGCCCCUUAUGUCCAGGGCUUCACACAUGCUACAAUGGCCGGUACAAAGGGCUGCUAAGCCGUGAGGUGGAGCGAAUCCCAUAAAGCCGGUCUCAGUUCGGAUCGGGGUCUGCAACUCGACCCCGUGAAGUCGGAGUCGCUAGUAAUCGCAGAUCAGCAACGCUGCGGUGAAUACGUUCCCGGGCCUUGUACACACCGCCCGUCACGUCACGAAAGUCGGUAACACCCGAAGCCCGUGGCUCAACCUCGCAAGGGGGAGAGCGGUCGAAGGUGGGACUGGCG
rnacentral:rRNA from 1 species